rnacentral:rRNA from 1 species
AGCGAACGCUGGCGGCAGGCCUAAUACAUGCAAGUCGAGCGGUCCCUUCGGGGGCAGCGGCGGACGGGUGAGUAACGCGUGGGAACGUGUCCUUUGGUACGGAACAACUGAGGGAAACUUCAGCUAAUACCGUAUGUGCCCUUCGGGGGAAAGAUUUAUCGCCAUUGGAGCGGCCCGCGUUGGAUUAGCUAGUUGGUGGGGUAAUGGCCCACCAAGGCGACGAUCCAUAGCUGGUCUGAGAGGAUGAUCGGCCACACUGGGACUGAGACACGGCCCAGACUCCUACGGGAGGCAGCAGUAGGGAAUCUUGCGCAAUGGGCGAAAGCCUGACGCAGCCAUGCCGCGUGAAUGAUGAAGGUCUUAGGAUUGUAAAAUUCUUUCACCGGGGACGAUAAUGACGGUACCCGGAGAAGAAGCCCCGGCUAACUUCGUGCCAGCCGCCGCGGUAACAC